UACGUAGGGUGCGAGCGUUAAUCGGAAUUACUGGGCGUAAAGGGCGCGUAGGCGGAUAGUUCAGUCGGGGGUGAAAGCCCGGGGCUCAACCUCGGAACUGCCUUCGAUACUGGCUAUCUUGAGUACGGGAGAGGUGUGUGGAACUCCGAGUGUAGAGGUGAAAUUCGUAGAUAUUCGGAAGAACACCAGUGGCGAAGGCGACACACUGGCCCGUUACUGACGCUGAGGCGCGAAAGCGUGGGGAGCAAACAGG
rnacentral:rRNA from 1 species